AGGGCUGUGGCUCAGUGGUAGAACGUCUGCUCUGCAUGUGGAAGAUCCAGGUUCAGACCCUGGAAUCUCUA